UGUUGUUGCUAUUGCCCACUGAAGCUAAGCAGGGUUGAGCCUGGUCAGUACCUGGACGGGAGACCUCCUGGGAAAACUAGGUUGCUGCUGGAA
rnacentral:rRNA from 1 species